rnacentral:tRNA from 1 species
GCGGUCAUCGUUCAACAGCAGGACGCCGGUCUUCCAAACCGGCUAUGCCGGUGCAAUUCCGGCUGACCGCA